UGUCAGAGCGAGAGAGAGACAGAGCGAGAGAGAGAGUGCAUAUUAGGAGCGAUUGGGGGCGCUUCGCCUUCUGAUUCCAUCCCUCCAUUUGCAUUUGCUUUGUGUGUCUCUUGGAUCCUUCGAUUCAGAUCUUCAUCGGCCCCUUGUGGAUUUCUACCGGGAUCUUCUUGUGCAUAAAAAGUCUCCUGCUGAAAACUGGAAGACAAAUAUCAGGGAAUGCUGAAAGAUGUGCUUGAACGCUAGGAGAUCUUCAUCUGUAAAUUUUAAUGUCACUUCAGCCAAGCUGCCCUUGUUCAUCCUUGAUGAUAUUGGAGAGCACAAUAACAUCCACUCUGUGCUUUAUGCACAUUGUUUCGAUGGAGCUAGAUAUAUUCCAAAAGCUGUCGUAUUAGACCACGAUCUUGGGGACGACGGUUGAUAUCAACCACACUGAAGAUACCACUCCUAAAGGAAACAAUACACACCAGUGGGAUUGCUUUUUAGAAUUUUUCAUAUAAUGGAGACAGAAAAUAAAGGGAAUGUGUUGUUGCAGAAGUAUGAGGUUGGUAGAUUACUAGGGAAGGGAACUUUUGCCAAGGUUUACUAUGCUAGGAAUAUAAGAACUUCCCAGAGUGUUGCUAUGAAGGUGAUUGACAAAGAGAAGGUGUUGAAGGUUGGGCUUAUUGAUCAGAUCAAACGAGAGAUAUCGGUGACGAGGCUGGUGAGACACCCAAACAUUGUGGAGCUUUAUGAGGUCAUGGCCACUAGAUCCAAAAUAUAUUUUGUCCUGGAAUAUGUGAAGGGUGGUGAGCUGUUUAACAAAGUUGCUCAAGGCAGGCUCAAAGAAGAUGUUGCUCGAAAAUAUUUUCAGCAGCUGAUUAAUGCCGUGGACUUCUGUCAUAGCCGGGGUGUCUAUCACCGUGAUUUGAAACCCGAAAACCUUCUGCUUGAUGAUAAUGGAAAUCUGAAGAUUUCAGAUUUUGGGUUGAGUGCUCUUGCUGAAUCUAAGAGACAAGAUGGCUUACUCCACACCACUUGUGGCACCCCGGCAUAUGUUGCUCCUGAGGUGCUCAGUAGAAAAGGAUAUGAUGGUGCCAAAGCCGACAUAUGGUCUUGUGGGGUGAUUUUGUUUGUUCUUAUGGCUGGUUAUCUCCCAUUCCAUGAUCCAAAUCUAAUAGAAAUGUAUAGGAAAAUUGGAAAAGCAGAAUUCAGGUGUCCCAAUUGGUUCCCCUUGGAUGUUAGGAAGUUGCUUUCACGCAUUCUUGACCCAAAUCCUACUUCCAGGAUCUCAAUUGCAAAGAUUAUGGGAAAUCCUUGGUUUAGAAAGGGACUUGAUGGAGGAUUAAUAAGAAAUGGCAAAGGAACACAAGAAAUUGAUCAAUCCGAUACCAAUGAGGAUAUUAGUUCCCCCGGUACCAAUGUGUCCGAGGACAGGCGAGAGAUGGGGAAACUUGCUAACUUAAAUGCUUUUGACAUCAUCUCUCUUUCAGCUGGAUUUAAUCUUUCUGGUCUGUUCGAGGAGACCGACCACAAGAGAGAAGCAAGAUUCAUAUCUUGUCAGCCGGCUUCUACGAUUAUCUCAAAGUUGGAGGAUGUUGCAAAGUUUUUGAAGUUAAAAGUGAAGAAGAAGGAUCAUGGGGUGUUGAAAAUGGAAGGAACGACGCAAGGGAGAAAGGGGGUUUUGGCAAUUGAUGCAGAAAUCUUCGAGGUUACGCCAGCGUUUCAUAUGGUCGAGAUAAAAAAGACAAAUGGAGAUACCCUGGAAUACCAGAAAACGUGGAAACAGGACAUCAGACCAGCCCUUAAGGACAUUGUCUGGGCAUGGCAUGGGGAGCAGCAGCAGUCUUAACCUUGAUGCUAAAGUUGCAACAUUCUGAUGCAGGAAGCAGAUAUGUGUUUCGUGCUUAAGAUUAUUGACUGCAAGCUUAUUGUCUGAGGCCUCAUAUGGCUGGCUGUUCUCGUUUACAGUUUAAACCUAGAGGUUUGGCAUAUUUAUCUGUGAAUGUAGCAUGCAAGGGUCUCGAUGGAUUUGUAAUCCCUUCUAGAUUCAUUCUCUUGGGGAGGAAACCUGAACUGGAACAUUCCAGGGUUCGAUGAGUGCUAUUUAUGUGUUACCUACUGUGGCACGUUAAAUGUCUCAGUAAUACCAUCCAAGUCUUUAUGGUACUGCACAAGGAUUACCAUUUCAUGGGCAUGGGACAUGUGCCUAUACCUUCUGAUACAACAUGAUUUUAUACAGUACUAUGGCGCAAGUCCAGAACUGGCUUAAUCAUCAUAUGCUUCGGGCUGCAGUUGUCUUAAUAAUAUUUUCUGAUGUAGCAAGCUGACGUGUGUUUCUUGCUUAAGUAAUCUCCAGAUAUUUUAUAUGCUUGGUAUUGUAUCUGUUUAUAUGUCACUAUGCUGCCUUGUAAGUAUAAAACUUGUGCAAACUAGUGCUUUGCUGCCCUGUGUGUGUAACUUUCAUUGACUUUUUUUAAUAUUACAUUCAUGCUUUGCUGAA